rnacentral:rRNA from 1 species
GACAGAGGGUGCAAACGUUGUUCGGAAUUACUGGGCGUAAAGCGCGUGUAGGCGGCUAAGUAAGUCGGGCGUGAAAUCCCACGGCUCAACCGUGGAAGUGCACUCGAAACUGCAUAGCUAGAGUCCUGGAGAGGAAGGUGGAAUGCUUGGUGUAGAGGUGAAAUUCGUAGAUAUCAAGCGGAACACCGGUGGCGAAGGCGGCCUUCUGGGACAGUGACUGACGCUGAGACGCGAAAGCGUGGG